UGGGGAAUAUUGCACAAUGGGCGAAAGCCUGAUGCAGCAACGCCGCGUGAGCGAUGAAGGCCUUUGGGUCGUAAAGCUCUGUCCUUGGGGAAGAAAAAAAUGACGGUACCCUUGGAGGAAGCCCCGGCUAACUACGUGCCAGCAGCCGCGGUAAUACGUAGGCAGCAAGCGUUGUUCGGAGUUACUGGGCGUAAAGAGUGCGUAGGCGGUUUUCUAAGUUCGGUGUGAAAUCUCCCGGCUUAACUGGGAGGGUGCGCCGAAGACUGGGAAGCUGGAGUGUGGGAAAGGCAGGCGGAAUUCCUGGUGUAGCGGUGAAAUGCGUAGAUAUCAGGAGGAACACCGGCGGUGUAGACGGCUUGCUAGACCAUAACUGACGCUGAGGCACGAAAGCGUGGGUAGCAAACA
rnacentral:rRNA from 1 species